UGGGGAAUUUUGGACAAUGGGCGCAAGCCUGAUCCAGCAAUGCCGCGUGCAGGAUGAAGGCCUUCGGGUUGUAAACUGCUUUUGUACGGAACGAAAAGGCUCUGGUUAAUACCUGGGAGCAUAUGACGGUACCGUAAGAAUAAGCACCGGCUAACUACGUGCCAGCAGCCGCGGUAAUACGUAGGGUGCGAGCGUUAAUCGGAAUUACUGGGCGUAAAGCGUGCGCAGGCGGUUUUGUAAGACAGAGGUGAAAUCCCCGGGCUCAACCUGGGAACUGCCUUUGUGACUGCAAGGCUGGAGUGCGGCAGAGGGGGGAUGGAAUUCCGCGUGUAGCAGUGAAAUGCGUAGAUAUGCGGAGGAACACCGAUGGCGAAGGCAAUCCCCUGGGCCUGCACUGACGCUCAUGCACGAAAGCGUGGGGAGCAAACAGGAUUAGAUACCCUGGUAGUCCACGCCCUAAACGAUGUCAACU
rnacentral:rRNA from 1 species